GACGAACGCUGGCGGCGUGCCUAAUACAUGCAAGUAGAACGCUGAAGAGAGGAGCUUGCUCUUCUUGGAUGAGUUGCGAACGGGUGAGUAACGCGUAGGUAACCUGCCUUGUAGCGGGGGAUAACUAUUGGAAACGAUAGCUAAUACCGCAUAACAAUGGAUGACACAUGUCAUUUAUUUGAAAGGGGCAAUUGCUCCACUACAAGAUGGACCUGCGUUGUAUUAGCUAGUAGGUGAGGUAACGGCUCACCUAGGCGACGAUACAUAGCCGACCUGAGAGGGUGAUCGGCCACACUGGGACUGAGACACGGCCCAGACUCCUACGGGAGGCAGCAGUAGGGAAUCUUCGGCAAUGGGGGCAACCCUGACCGAGCAACGCCGCGUGAGUGAAGAAGGUUUUCGGAUCGUAAAGCUAUGUUGUAAGUCAAGAACGAGUGUGAGAGUGGAAAGUUCACACUGUGACGGUAGCUUACCAGAAAGGGACGGCUAACUACGUG
rnacentral:rRNA from 1 species